AGCAUCUAAGCGGGAAGCGAGCCCUGAGAUGAGUCAUCCCUGACCCCUUGAGGGUCCUAAAGGGCCGUUGGAGACCACAACGUUGAUAGGUGGGGUGUGUAAGCGCGGCGACGUGUUGAGCUAACCCAUACUAAUUACCCGUGAGGCUUAACCAUACAACACCCAAGAAGUGUUCUG
rnacentral:rRNA from 1 species